GUCAGUGUAGUGGGAAAAAAUAUUUGGAAUUUCGUUCAAUUUUAAUGUAGUUUUUGGAAGUAUUUUUCAAUAACGUAAAUUUAUUUUAUUGUAUUUUACAUGAUUUUACAUUUUUUAUUUUACAUGCGUAUGAGGAUACUUUUUUGUAGCUUAAACGGUUUACAAAUGAACGUAAAUAAUAAGUUAUAAACCUUAAAGUGCAAGUUAAUAUAAACUACUUUACAUUUUCAAUUUAGAGUAUUUAAGUGGAAGAAACUUUCAGCGAGUAUUAUUAAAAAUUAUUAGUAAAAAUUUGUUCUAAAAAAUUACAUAAUUUCGUUGCCGCGUUUUAAUCCGCACAAGGAUAAAAUUUAUUUAUAUCUAUAUGCAAAUUAAAAGGCUGUGUAAAACAACUGACAGCUGUUUUUAACCCACAGUCGAUAAAACUGAUCGAUAAAUGUAUAAAAAUUGUUAUCUUACUGAAAAUUGCAUAAUGGUGGAUAGUUCAUGAACAAAAUUUCCGGAUUUUUCUGUGCGGACUUUUUGUGUUGACUUUUUAUUUUUGGGAAAAAAUUUCCGGAUUAACGCGAAAUUAAGAGGUUUAUUAUUAGGGUGGAUAGAAAAUAAUAAGUUUCUGAAUUUUAACAAGAUUUCCCAUGCGUCAAAAAAUAGUAAUUUUUUAAGCUCAGUGCUUUCUGAACUUUAAUCAGUAAAAAAUAUGUCACCAAACUAAUGCAGUAAAAUUCGAAUGAUUCGUAUUAAAGAUGUACAAAACGUACAAUCAACAUCAAAAGUUGCCUUUGUUUAACUGAUUUAUAAAAUCGGCAAAAAUAGAUCUAUUAUUAAUUUCUGUAACUCUUGACGAAGGCUUCUAUGCAUACUUCAGAAAAAACUAAAUCAUGUUAAAAUUGUUUAUUUAACAGUAGUUAUUUGUAGGUUUAGUUUUUCCUAUCUAUUUAGGGAAAAGUUGAAAUUCUUAUUUAAUCCUAAUGAUCAAGGCCAUCAUACCAUUAACAUUGUUAUGAACAAAUAUAGUUUAAGUUUUUAUUAACGCCACCCAAAUAGCAUUAUAGAUAAUCCUUCUAAUAAUAAAAUGAGGCCUUGAUAAUUAGGAUUAAAUAAGAAUUGUAACCUUUCUCUAAAGAGAAAGAAAAAGCUGAACCUAUAAAUAACCACUGUUACGUAAACAAUUAUACACUGAAAAAUAUUUUUUUAAGUGAGCUUAGAAGCUUCCUUCAAGAUUAGCAAAAAUCAAUAAUAGAUCUAAUUUUUUAGAAUUUCUUAGCACGAGCCACUUUUUAUUAUCAAAAUUUUUAAUUUUCGGCCAACCCUACUGCAUACUUUUUAUUCAUUUAUUUAAUUAUUAUUGAUUUCAUUGCGGGUCAUCCAGUGCGGUGUUUUGAGAAAGAAAUGUGACACCAAAUUAGCCAUUUUCGAGGCCAGACGAUGUUUUUAACCAAAAUUUUUUAAUCAGUUCAUAACAGACUCUGUCAUCAAAAUCCAAUUUUCCAGUUUUUUGCCAAUUUUAAAAGGCCAUAAAUUAUUGAUAAUUUUUUUAAAGUGUAGUUUUAUUAGUUAAAUAUAAUAUGAAAUUACUAAAUAAUUGAUAUUACAUAAUAAUAAUUUAUUAGGUACAAAUUUGGGGUUUGGUUAAUUGCAAUUUUUUUUUAAAAGAAGAAAAUCCUUCACAUUCUCGGAGGGUAUUGGGUUGGGGGGGGGGGGGCAAAUUUGUCGAAAAAUGGGCCCCGUUCGGCCUUCUACAUGUUUUUUUAAGUAAAGGGGAUCAUGGAUUACGUUUUUGAAGAUGACACGCAUGAUGCUGCGUUAAAUCUGGCUCUCGAUAAAGUUAUGGAAGAAGAAGAAAAAAUAAUUCCGGAAAACCGAAUCUCCGAAUCAGAUUCUAGUAUUUCAGCGUUUGAAGAAACUGAUCUUUUGAUCCGAGUGAUCCAACAAAAGAUUAGAAAAAUGUGGAAAAUUCAAAAUUACAUUAUAAAGAUAAAAAAAAAACCGUCAUGGAUGAUGAAGAUGACAGUUUUGUUAAAUUUAUAAAUGCACUCAACACUUUUGGCGCACCUACUUUGUGGGAAAGUAUUCCAGAUAGAACUAAUGAAUCUGAAAUACAGAGCGGACGCAUCAUUGCAGGAGAUAAUCUUGAUAACCCCGAUGACCUACUAUCACUUGAAACCGGAGACAAAGAUAUGGAAGCGAAUGACGAAAUCAUAGAAGAUCAGCAAGCCCUAAAAAUAUUAAUUACGAUCCGAUGGAAUAUGUUGCAGGGCAUAUUGAAUGAGCUAAAUAUCACUUUUCCUCAUUUAGAAGACAAAAUCGAUGCUGUUGAGAUCGGAACCGGUAUCUACGAGAAACUUUGCAGCCCUAUCUUGGAAGAGAUCUUCAUUCAUUUUCUGUCUGUAACGCACUUCAUAUCUGAGCCUGAAGUUGACUUAAAUCUCCUUGUGGGCUAAAUGCAGAACGAAUUAUAUCAAACAUUGUGUCUAAUGAAUCUGGCUCAAAACUAUUUCGUAAAUAAAGGAGGAAGCUGACGGGUUCUGUGCGUCGAGGACGAUGUGAUAUUCAGGAACGGCCGAAUGUGAAGAACUAUUUUUCGAAUCUUCUGAGCGAGUAGCCGAAGGUUGGCCAUGAAAUUUGCGACGGAGAAGCUAUCGUUGGCGACUCAUACGUCAUUGUUUAGUCUAGUACCCUUUGGCGCCUAGAACCCUAUGGUGUAUCGAAAACAAAAGUCUCCAUGUGAAGUGGAGAAA